AGAAAAGAAGAAUAAGAUGAAAGUGAGUGUUUUUCUCUUCAGACUUUGUACUGUUUUGAUUUUUGUUUUUGGCUUCGCUGAGAUGCUGAGGAAAGAAAAGUCACGCUUUUGAACUCUGGGUUUUUAUCUUUCUGGAAUUUACGUUAAUUGAGUGUGUUAAUUUGUCUUAUCACAAGUCGGAAUUUUAGGAUAUUGAAGAUGUUGAUUUAUUGUUUUGGCUAAUGCGUUCCAAUAAUGAAAAUUGAGUGCUGGUGAUUAGUUUCAAAAUGGGGUGAUUGGUCAUUUGAUUUUUAAAGUAGACAUUUUCUAUCGUAUGAAAUUAUAUUUGUUAUUGUUUGAAGUUUUGAUCUGAUUUCCAAGCAUAGUUGUUGUUAAGGUUGUCGGUAAAA
rnacentral:misc_RNA from 1 species